UCUUUUGCAGAGGAGUAAGUCAAAUUGCAUGCUGGAGUGAAGCAAACUCAAAUCAAUGGACAGAAAAGUUUGCAAACAUUUUUGCAAAAACAACAUUUAUGGAGGAAUCCAAUAUGCAACUAGCUUCUCAGAAUUAUAACCACAGCUUUAACACAGCCUGGAUGGUUGAAUAGAGAGUUAUACAGCAAACUACUGUACCUGAGGAAAAGACAGUCCUAGAAGGAACUGCCUGGAGAACAAGAUCAGAACUCAGAAGGUGUUGACAAAUUACCAGGAAAACCUGAAAAAAAGAGCCAUGGAAAAUGAGUCUGCUCAAACAAUGAAGCUUUUUAUUAGCACAUCUGUAAAUCUAUUUGAAGAUGUGUGCCUCUUGAGGAAAUCUGCAGUACGGAAAAAGGUGCUGGAGUUAGUGAGCCUGAUCUGGCCACAGCUGAAGUCACUGAAUGUGUUUUCACAGCCAUUGAGUACAGCAGGAUGGGAUUGUUUGCUAUUGAAUCAAUUAAAAGCAACAUUAAAAAGUUUACAGUUUCCUUCUUUUUAAUUCCUUCUCUAGUCUCUGCUUUCAAAGUAUA
rnacentral:lncRNA from 1 species